rnacentral:rRNA from 1 species
AGUGAACGCUGGCGGUAGGCCUAACACAUGCAAGUCGAACGGCAGCACAGUAAGAGCUUGCUCUUACGGGUGGCGAGUGGCGGACGGGUGAGGAAUACAUCGGAAUCUACUUUUUCGUGGGGGAUAACGUAGGGAAACUUACGCUAAUACCGCAUACGACCUACGGGUGAAAGCAGGAGAUCUUCGGACCUUGCGCGAUUGAAUGAGCCGAUGUCGGAUUAGCUAGUUGGCGGGGUAAAGGCCCACCAAGGCGACGAUCCGUAGCUGGUCUGAGAGGAUGAUCAGCCACACUGGAACUGAGACACGGUCCAGACUCCUACGGGAGGCAGCAGUGGGGAAUAUUGGACAAUGGGCGAAAGCCUGAUCCAGCCAUACCGCGUGAGUGAAGAAGGCCUUCGGGUUGUAAAGCCCUUUUGUUGGGAAAGAAAAGCAGCAGGUUAAUACCCCGCUGUUCUGACGGUACCCAAAGAAUAAGCACCGGCUAACUUCGUG